ACUACAACAUAUGCUGUUCUCCACACCAACCUGAACAUGUUGACGUUGUAAGCGCCAUAGCAGGGAACUUGUACAGCGUAUUCAGAGGUGAUGAAUUUGCUGUCUGGCCAUCUCUGAUUGCAACGAGCUUCCACGAAUCCGUAUAAAGGUUGGCAGAAGACCUAAGCAGCAACAACAAUACAUUUGGCUUGUUAGAUUAUUAUUAUGUUGUUAUGUAAUUGCAGGAAACAAGUUAAUGAGAGUCAAGGGCAGCCAGGUGCACUAAAGCUCGCACUUUGCUUGAGUCCAGGAAAGGGCCGGACCACAAGGGUCUAUUGUAUAUAUGCAGCCUUACCCUGCAUUUCUGCAAGAAGCUGAUUCCACGGCUUGAACCCGUGACCUCCUGGUCACGUGGCAACAACUUUAAUGAGCGUGUUAGAGAAAUUUCACCUGGUAAGCUCCGAUAAGGUGGAUGGCGAUGCAGACGUUGGCGAAGUCGAUUAGCCAAAAAGGUUCGUAGAAACCAAAACCAGUGAGGAAGUUCCCUGGAGCAUUGUUUCCAAAGGCUGCAUAGCCAAUGGUACCACAUAGUACAUAGAAUAAGGUUGUGGUGGACAC
rnacentral:lncRNA from 1 species